rnacentral:rRNA from 1 species
CAGGUUGUUUGGUAUUGCAGCCUAAAGUUGGAGGUAAAUCUCUCCUAAAGCUAAAUAUUGACGAAAGACCGAUAGCGAACAAGUACCGUGAGGGAAAGAUGAAAAGCACCUUGAAAAGGGGGUCAAAAAGUACGUGAAAUUGCUGAAAGGGAACGGUAUGAAAUCAGACUGUCUUUUUGGUAAUCAGCCUGGGCUUUGGCCUGGGUGCACUUGCCAGUAAGUACAGCCUACGACAAUUUGAAGCGUGGGAAAAAAUCAGGGGGAAUGUGGCCUCGGCUUCGGCGGAGGUGUUAUAGCCCUUUGAAAAAUACCAUGCUUUGGAUUGAGGACUGCAGUGAGCCAUUAGGGAUGAACUGUAGGCGCUUAGUUUCGGUAAAGAAGGAAUCUCUGCUUCGGGUGGUGCCUUUUUUACCGGGAUUAACCCGUUUACUUUUUCUUUUUCUCGCUUAGGUCGUAGGCAUAAUGAUUUUAUAUCACC